AUUAUGAUUUGUAUUUUGUAUAUGCGUUCCAAUAUAACCAGGGAGCAGCGUGGCAGCGUCUUCAAACAACAGUUUUGUGACUGUCACGAGAGUGAAACCGUUAAAACGCGUCCGUUAAAGCGAACGCUUUGUUUACACAUUCAAGUGCUCUAUGUCUUGAAGUAUUAUUGUGCCAUCCAGCCACUAACAAGCCACAGUCCAUCUGAUAAACUAAGCUAUUUCUGUGGUCCAUCUGGUAAACCAUUUCUUGGCUCAACAAUUGGUCAGGUGGUAGAUCAAGCAGCUGAACUAUACCCAGAUCGUGAUGCAUACGUAUUUUGUGAAAAUGGAAGGAAAGCGACGUUCUCAGAUCUGAAAUUCAUGGCUGAUAAACUUGCUGCGGGGUUCCUAGCUCUUGGUCUUAAAAGAGGUGACAGAGUCGGAAUAUGGGGGCCAAAUGUUGAAGAGUGGAUUUUAACGCAAUUUGCCACGGCAAAGGCUGGAUUAAUUUUGGUAAACAUUAAUCCAGCCUAUCGGGCUGCUGAGGCGCAUUAUGCGCUAAAAAAGGUUGGUUGCAAAGCUCUUGUAUCUGUUUCAAGUCACAAAACGUCAGAUUACUAUGGAAUGUUAUGUGAAAUCGCACCAGAGCUACACGAUUCUAAACCUGGCUGGCUUCACAGUGAGCAUGUGCCGAUGCUUCGACAAGUAAUUAUGAUUGGAGACGAAAAUUAUAGUGGCACGCUCUCUUUCAACGAAGUGAUACAGGCUGGUGGGAAUAACGAAACGGAGGAACUUAAUGCCCUUCAGCAACGCCUGCAGUUCGAUGAUCCAAUUAGUAUACAGUUCACCUCUGGCACGACUGGUAAUCCAAAAGGGGUUACAUUGAGUCAUCACAACAUUCUCAACAAUGCUUUUCUUGUUGGUUCAACAGUAAAAUAUGCAGAAGAGCAUUCCAAAAUCUGCAUCCCUGUUCCACUUUAUCACUGUUUUGGAAUGGUUCUGGGAAGUUUAUCGUCAGUCAUCUUUGGGGCAACUGCAGUUUAUCCUUCGUCUAGUUUCGAUGCUCGGACUACACUCGCUGCCUGCCAAGCUGAGAAAUGUACGUCACUUUAUGGCACGCCUACCAUGUUCAUUGACAUGCUAAGUGAAGAGGAUCUGUCUCAAUUUGACCUCAAUUCUUUACGUACAGGUGUAAUGGGUGGUUCUCAGUGCCACAUUGAAAUAAUGAAGGCUGUUAUGGAUAAGUUACAUUUACCUGAAUUGACGCUUGCCUAUGGUUUGACUGAACUUUCUCCUCUCUGUUGUCAAACUCAAAUUGAUGAUCCUGUUGAACUUCGAGUCUCGACUGUUGGAAAAAUGCAUUCAAAUACUGAGGGUAAAAUAGUGAAUGAAAAUGGCGAGAUAAUUCCUGUGGGUGAAGAUGGUGAACUGUGCGUGCGAGGUUAUUGUGUCAUGUUAGGAUACUGGGAUGAUGAAGACAAAACAAAAAGUACCAUAGACGCCAGCGGUUGGUUACACACAGGGGAUAAAGCUUCAAUGGAUGAAGAUGGAUACGUGAGAAUUGUCGGCCGAAUGAAGGACUUGAUCAUAAGAGGAGGAGAAAAUAUCUAUCCGGCCGAAAUUGAACAAUUUCUAUACCAUCAUUCAAAAAUUCAAGAAGUUGAGGUGAUUGGCGUACCAGAUAAAAGGAUGGGUGAAGAAAUUUGCGCGUGGAUAAGAUUGAUAAAGGAUGAGACUGCUACAGCAGAUGAAAUCAAGGAAUUUUGCAAGGGAAAGAUCGCCCAUUUUAAAAUUCCUCGUUAUAUUAAGUUCGUGGAUGAUAUGCCAAUGACAGUCACAGGAAAGAUACACCCGGACAACUUUGAAGGAGCCUCGAGGCGGAUCAUCCAGGAAGAAAAAAUAUUCAGUGCAGUAAAUUGAUACCAAUAUUCCAUUACAAGAUGACUCCAAAGUACCCUCUUUUCAAAUACGACCUUCUGUUGUGAAAUUGAAAAAGAAAGAGAAAAUUUUCGGUAUCACGAAUACAUAUACGUAUAAUAACGACAAAAUGGCAAACAUGCAUCGCGGAGCGAUUUUUGUAUUGAAGAGAUUGAGGAAGAAGCUUAACGGUACGGCCAAAAAUGGUACCCGUGAUUUAAUUUAUAAUCAACGGACAGGUUAGAAAAAGAAUUGAAACGGGAAAUUGAUUGGGGGAGGGGGGGUCAGGUGGGAAAGCAUCUCUACAAAACACAACAGAGUUGGUAAACAGACUAUCAAACGCGAAUAAAAUUGUGUGAAAAAAACCAAGAGAGUUAGAACUGCAAAGAUUUUCAUUGAAAUUUACUAUACCUCUAACAAUUGAACCAUAAACAAGAGAAAAAUUAUAUUGCUACUUCCUGAUUAAUUUCCGGGAGUAAGCGUAUAUGUCGAUUUCAGUGUAUAUGGCUGCAUGUGGUGAAAUAUAUAUGGAGGAUAAAGGCAAAUAAGUGAAACAACAUGAACGGAAGAUCAUUAAUCGUCAAUGAAUACACGCAGAACUAGUGUGGUUUCAAACUGCUUUAUUU
rnacentral:misc_RNA from 1 species